AGUGAACGCUGGCGGUAGGCCUAACACAUGCAAGUCGAACGGCAGCACAGUAAGAGCUUGCUCUUACGGGUGGCGAGUGGCGGACGGGUGAGGAAUACAUCGGAAUCUACUUUUUCGUGGGGGAUAACGUAGGGAAACUUACGCUAAUACCGCAUACGACCUACGGGUGAAAGCAGGGGAUCUUCGGACCUUGCGCGAUUGAAUUAGCCGAUGUCGGAUUAGCUAGUUGGCGGGGUAAAGGCCCACCAAGGCGACGAUCCGUAGCUGGUCUGAGAGGAUGAUCAGCCACACUGGAACUGAGACACGGUCCAGACUCCUACGGGAGGCAGCAGUGGGGAAUAUUGGACAAUGGGCGCAAGCCUGAUUCAGCCAUACCGCGUGGGUGAAGAAGGCCUUCGGGUUGUAAAGCCCUUUUGUUGGGAAAGAAAAGCAGCAGGUUAAUACCCCGCUGUUCUGACGGUACCCAAAGAAUAAGCACCGGCUAACUUCGUG
rnacentral:rRNA from 1 species